UGGGUAACCUGCCUCAAAGAGGGGAAUAGCCUCCCGAAAGGGAGAUUAAUACCGCAUAAUAUGUUUAGGUCGCAUGACUUUAACAUCAAAGGAUUUUCUUUUAGAAAUUCCACUUUGAGAUGGACCCCGCGGCGCAUUAGCUAGUUGGUGAGGUAACGGCUCACCAAGGCAACGAUGCGUAGCCGACCUGAGAGGGUGAUCGGCCACAUUGGAACUGAGACACGGCCAGACCUCCCGUAGGGACGG
rnacentral:rRNA from 1 species